UUUCGACAAUGGCACAGCUGAACUCCAGUCAACACAAAGACAAUCAACUGAAGUGUUACUCAUGAUAUACAUCUUCAAGAAAAGGUCCCUCGCUCCCCAUCACCCCACGGGGUCUCCCGCUGGAAGGAGGGGCGCCGGUAGCCACAGGCCCCCCUGCAGCUGCUGCCUGCCAAUUCUCCAGCCCCCCAAGAGAGGCCCUGCACCUCAUCGCCUCGCCGCACCGCAUGGAAAUGAGCAAAACUGCACGCGUUUCUAGCAAAACAAGGAAGAAUACUGAAGAUCACCCAGACAACAGUUGUAAGAAAAGUAUUUU